GGAGGGUGCAAGCGUUAUCCGGAUUUAUUGGGUUUAAAGGGUCCGUAGGCGGAUCUGUAAGUCAGUGGUGAAAUCUCACAGCUUAACUGUGAAACUGCCAUUGAUACUGCAGGUCUUGAGUGUUGUUGAAGUAGCUGGAAUAAGUAGUGUAGCGGUGAAAUGCAUAGAUAUUACUUAGAACACCAAUUGCGAAGGCAGGUUACUAAGCAACAACUGACGCUGAUGGACGAAAGCGUGGGGAGCGAACAGGAUUAGAUACCCUGGUAGUCCACGCCGUAAACGAUGCUAACUCGUUUUGGGUUUUCGGAUUCAGAGACUAAGCGAAAGUGAUAAGUUAGCCACCUGGGGAGUACGUUCGCAAGAAUG
rnacentral:rRNA from 1 species